AAGUCGGAAGCCGCUAAGGAGUGUGUAACAACUCACCUGCCGAAUCAACUAGCCCUGAAAAUGGAUGGCGCUUGAGCGGGAGACUUAUACUCAACCGUUGCUAGGCUUGUGUACACAGGCAAUAGUUUUUUGUUUUUACAAUAAAAAACGAAUGCAACAGUUACCUGGCCGCAACGAGUAAGAGGGUCGCAGUGGUUAGCGCUGAAGACUUUGGGCGUAGGCCCAGUCGGAGCUUCCAUUGGUGCAGAUCUUGGUGGUAGUAGCAAAUAUUCAAGUGAGAUCCUUGAAGACUGAAGUGGAGAAGGGUUCCUCGUGAACAGCAGUUGGAUGCGGGUCAGUCGAUCCUAAGAUAUUGGCUAAUGCCAUUUUUUGCAAUGAGAGACGGAGAUCAAAUCCAUCUCGGCAAUCGAAAGGGAAACGGGUUUAUAUUCCCGUACCUGGACACGGAGAUUAAAUAUCCAUUGCGGAUAUUUAGCGCGGUAACGCAAACGAACUCGGAGACGUUGAGCAGAGCCCGAGCCAGAGUUCUCUUUUCUGGUUAAGGAACGGACUCCCUGGAAGCGGUUCAGCCGGCGAUAGGGACGUUGUUUCCGUAAAGCGCCACGGUUCCUGUGGCGUCUCGUGCACUCUGCUCGACCCAUGAAAAUCCGAGGGAGGCAAUUUGAAUUUCGUGCCAGAUCGUACCGAUAUCCGCAGCAGGUCUCCAAGGUGAACAGCCUCUAGUCGAUAGAAUAAUGUAGGUAAGGGAAGUCGGCAAAUUAGAUCCGUAACUUCGGGAAAAGGAUUGGCUCUAAGGACUGGGUCGGUCGGGCUGCAGCGUGAAGUGAGUGCGGUUUGAUCCGUGCAGUGCUAACGCAUAUUGGUUGCACAAAAUUUCUUGGAUCUUUCAAAAAAAAUUUCCCCGAUUGAGCACAUCAUACACACAAAAACACACACAAACACACACACACAGAUWAUUGUUUGUUAAUCGCAGAUGAUAUUUGUUGUUGUUGUUGUUGUUGUUGUUGUUGUUGUUGUUGUUGCUGUUCGUUCGGGUGUAAAAAUUUUUUGCUGAGUGAAAAGAAAUGUGUCUAAUAAGUGUUUGGCUCGGCUAGUGUUUGAACUGUCUUAUGGACCGCUGCAGCUGUGCAUCGGUUCACUUUAGCGGUGUCGGUGCUUCGUCCGGCGCUAAACAGUCAGCUUAGAACUGGCGCGGACUCGGGGAAUCCGACUGUCUAAUUAAAACAGAGGAGACAGAUGGUCCUUGCGGGCGUUGACUGUCUCUGAUUUCUGCCCAGUGCUCUGAAUGUAAAAGUGAAGAAAUUCAACCAAGCGCGGGUAAACGGCGGGAGUAACUAUGACUCUCUUAAGGUAGCCAAAUGCCUCGUCGGAUAACUACCGACGCGCAUGAAUGGAUUAUCGAGAUUCCCACUGUCCCUAUCUACUAUCUAGCGAAAUCACAGCCAAGGGAACGGGCUUGGUAAACACAGCGGGGAAAGAAGACCCUGUUGAGCUUGACUCUAGUCCGACUCUGUGAAGAGUCAUGAGAGGUGUAGCAUAAGUGGGAGGCUUUUUUAUGGAAGCCACCAGUGAAAUACCACUACUUUCAUCGAUUCUUUACUUAUUCGGUAAGACGGGAAUUGAACCAAGACGGUUCUUGAUUCUGGUAUAAAGUGUAGCCGCUUGGUGGCCGCACGACUCGCGCCGAAGACAGUGUCAGGCGGGGAGUUUGACUGGGGCGGUACAUCUGUCAAAAGGUAACGCAGGUGUCCUAAGGCUAGCUCAGAGAGGACGGAAACCUCUCGUAGAGUAAAAGGGCAAAAGCUCGCUUGAUCUUGAUUUCCAGUACGAAUACAGACCGCGAAAGCGUGGCCUAUCGAUCCUUUUGAAUUAGAAGGUCUCUAGCAAGAGGUGUCAGAAAAGUUACCACAGGGAUAACUGGCUUGUGGCAGCCAAGCGUCCAUAGCGACGUUGCUUUUUGAUCCUUCGAUGUCGGCUCUUCCUAUCAUUGCGAAGCAGAAUUCGCCAAGCGUUGGAUUGUUCACCCACCAAUAGGG
rnacentral:rRNA from 1 species